rnacentral:rRNA from 1 species
UGGUCAAGUUAUUAAGAGUGCAGGGCGGAUGCCUUGGCACUAGGAGCCGAUGAAGGACGUGAUAAGCUGCGAUAAGCUUCGGGGAGUUGCACGUAAACUUUGAUCCGAAGAUUUCCGAAUGAGGAAACUCACUUAGAGUAAUGUCUAAGUAUCAUUAAGUGAAUACAUAGCUUAAUGAGGGGAACUCAGGGAACUGAAACAUCUAAGUACCUGAAGGAAGAGAAAGAAAUUCGAUUCCGUAAGUAGCGGCGAGCGAACGCGGAUUAGCCCAAACCAAUAAAGUUUUCUUUGUUGGGGUUGCGGACAUAUCAUAACGAAGAGGUAUCGUAAUUGAAGAGGUUUGGAAAGACCCACCACAGAAGGUAAUAGUCCUGUAUGUUAAACGAGAAGACUUUAGAUAUGAUCCAGAGUACCACGGGACACGUGAAACCCUGUGGGAAGCAGGAGGGACCACCCUCCAAGGCUAAAUACUACCUAGUGACCGAUAGCGUAUAGUACCGUGAGGGAAAGGUGAAAAGAACCCCGGGAGGGGAGUGAAAUAGAACCUGAAACCCUGCACUUACAAGCUGUGGAAGCACAUUUCUUGUGUGACCGCGUACUUUUUGUAGAACGGGCCAACGAGUUACGUUAAGUAGCAAGGUUAAACACUUAAGGUGCGGAGCCGUAGCGAAAGCGAGUUUUAACUGAGCGUUCAGUUACUUGACGUAGACCCGAAACCGGGCGACCUACCCAUGAGCAGGAUGAAGCGAAAGUAAAAUUUCGUGGAG